UAAUCGAAGAACUGUUGUUGCGGUCGCUAAUCAGCACUGCACGCAGGUCGGCCCCGGACGGUUCAAAGCUAGAGUCCCCCUCGCAGGUUCGACAGUUCCCGGCCGGAGUGAAGCCAACACCCUCCUCCAUAGGGGUGAUUGCACUUUAGCGACAGGUUGAGCAACCGGCCUGAUGAGAGUCUGCUGCCCAAGGGUGUCCGCUAUCUCUAUUCAUUACAUUCCCUCUGUGUAUCUACUCUUUGUUGCUUCCCGCUCACGCUAUCAUGCGCUCAGGCCGUGAUAGGAGGGCGGGGAGGAGAUUUCAAACUCUGGUUGUUAUCAUUGUCAGUCUGAGUGGUCAACACAUCAAAAACAAGUUAAAACUUUCAACAACGGAUCUCUUGGUUCU
rnacentral:misc_RNA from 1 species